rnacentral:snRNA from 1 species
AACAUUGGUAUCGCUCGCGAUGUUACAUCUGUCAAUUUUAACAAUACAGAGAAGAUUAGCGUUGUCCUUGCAUAAAGAUGACACGCUAUGUAAAGAGAUCUAUCAUUUUUAG